rnacentral:lncRNA from 1 species
GAAUGUCUUAAAAUUAUCUUUAUUGAAAGAACAAUAAUGUUUGUUAUUAGGAUAAAUGAAAUAAGGGGAAAACCUCAGACCCUUGGAACAAUGGGUUUACAUUCAAUCCAAUGAUUAUUAUGUUUUUAUAUUCUGUAUUAUUUAGAAAACAGUAGUUAAACAGACAGAAAUACAGAAGAUUGUUUAAAAAUUAAAGCUAUUGAGUUAGAUCCCUUUUUGAAAGGUCAGCGUAUGGGAGAUGAGAAAGGCACUAUAGAGAUCAGAGUGUUUACACAAAAGACAUCUUAGCAGAUGACCUACAAAGAGCACAUCAAGUAUUUAUAUCAUCCACAUCAAGUUGCUGGUCAUUUCGCUUAUCAAAGAAAAUAAGAAAGAAAUUUUCUUUCGACAUUAUUUUGGUGUAGUAACAAUAGAGUUUUGGAAUCAGCUGUUAGAAGCGAUAAUUAAAGCUAGUUUACCAUGCUUACUAAUCAAUCUACAUAGUCACCCUGAAGCUUUAUAUAAUUGUCCCUUUGUUACAAGCUUCUACUUCUCCCUAUGGUAUUCUGGUUCUGAAUCCAGACAGGUAAAGAACUAAGUAUGGCCGGGCGCGGUGGCUCACGCCUGUAAUCCCAGCACUUUGGGAGGCCGUGGCGGGCAGAUCACGAGGUCAGGAGAUCGAGACCAUCCUGACCAACAUGGUGAAACCCUGUCUUUACUAAACUACAAAAAAUUAGCCCGGCAUGAUGGUGUGCGCCUGUAGUCCCAGCUACUCGGGAGGCUGAGGCAGGGGAAUUGCUUGAACCUGGGAGGCAGAGGUUGCAGUGAACCGAGAUCAUGCCACUGCACUCCAGCCUGUGAGACUCCGUCUCAAAAAAAAAAAAAAAAAAAGAAAAAAAAAAAAAGAACUGAAGUGCUUGGAGACCAGUGUAUUGUAAUAUCUAUACAGCCAAGCAGGUAUUUUCAACUGAACUUUAAAAAAGUACUAUUUUUGAAACUUUCUUUAGUUUAGAUAGGGCCAGCCAUUUGGGUAGAAAGGAAAAGAAAAACAAAAAAUUGGAAAAGGAUGCAUCAGUAUUUCUUUCAGAAACAACUUAACACUAGGAACAGAAGGAGGAUUUUAUUCACCAACUCCUAAUAACCACCUGAUGUUGCUGUUGGGCUGGCCAAAUAUCUGCCAACAUUGAUGAUCCUUUCAUUCACCACUAGAGAGAAGUAGAGGGACCUGAUGUUUAGAGAAGCAGUAAAACCCAUUUCCCAUUUUCUUUCUUCAGCCGGAUGGAAGUACUUGGAGGCUGGUCUCAUAUUCUAGCACUUUAGUGCUGGUGAUGCAGAUUAUCUCUGCUCCAGAGUAACUCUGUGCCAUGGAAUCCAAGAGGAUUCUGUCGCACCAGGACAGGAAUGCACCCUUGUUUCAUUUGCUUCCAUGAAAGCAGAUUUCAGAGAUUCUCAGAUGCUAUGAGACUAAUUGUCACUUAGGGUAGGCUCCAGGGGAGGGACAGAGAAGGGCAGUGCUAAUAACAGGGACUCUGGAGACAAGAUCAGCAAUCUAAGAAACAAAUGUGAGACAUUUUACCCCUCCCUAAUCUACUCCCCUUUUAAAAGUUCAUCUUCAUUUUCCCUUUUUCUACCACGCAGUAAUUGAUAAUUAAACACAGCUCUGGUUUUUACCAUGCAAUCUAGUAGAACACCUAGACAUCAGGAACUCCUUAUCUUUGGUUAUUUAUACAAUAAUGAAAUCUGUAGUUCACGCUAGGCUGUGUGGACAGUAUCUGCAUCUCUGGAAAUCAACUGGAGGCCUUUCUCUUACUCUUUUCCGGUUGCUUUCCAUUUCCUUUUCCACUGUGGUCCUUGCCUUUCCCAAGCUGACCAGAACUAUGCACAAAACCAGUCUUCAAUAAAUAUCAACACUGAAGCUUCAGCAGGUUGUUAACUCCUGCACAGCUAUCUUAAAUGCUGUAUAUAAGUGCAAAGUUUUAUGGAGCCUCAGAGGUCUCUAAGAACACUGUAAAUAUCCCAGGUUUAAUUAGUAGUCCCGGAGUUAGGUAAUGGCCUGUGGCUUUCUGCGCUAGGUCUCUUGAGGUUUCUAGUCUUCAGAGGUUGCCUGCAACUAUGAUGUGCACAUAUACAGUACUCUUUCUCAAAUACAGCAUAAACCCUCUUUAGACUUUGCUAGGCACUUACAAUUAUUGAACACACAUGCAGAUUGAUUCUCAUUCUCUCAAAGUUUGAAAAACAACUCAGUGCUUCAACCUAGGUCUCGUUAGAUAUUUUUUGACUCAAAUUGUCGUCUGUAGUUCUACUUCCUAAGGGAAAUGAAAAAACAAUAAAUUCCCAGACUGGUGUUGAUGCUCAUUCUCUUUAAGCGGGUCGACUACUUGCUUUGUAGAUCCUUGACGGGUGGGGUGCGGGGUAGGAGUGCGAUCCAACUCUCAGCAUUUCCGAAUCAGCUCUCUCACGGUGACAGGUCAGCCCAAUCGGGGCUGUAAACAGACUUGACAGGUUUGUUCUGGGCUGACGGCCAUUGACUAGGUUCUCAGACCAGAUAAGUCACUUGGCUGAGUCCACAGUAGGUGGGGCGCGCUCACCAGCUCAGGGGUAGUGACUGGACGUUUGUUGCAACAUCGGAGAAUGCACGCUCUGGGCUGCAGCAGGAGAUACCCUCAAGCACAGAACCAAAAGGGUUCACCCUAAGCGGCAGGGCAUCAGCGAUGGAGAGGCCCGAGAGCCCUAGCGCCCAGCUCCUUUUCCCACGUUUGGGAAGGCGCAGAAUAGGUCGAUGUAGAGCAAGGAGUGAGUCUCAGGUCUCAGUCCUUUGGCUUGCUCUUAGGGUAGCAGGCGAGGAGUGGCACCAGUUUGGGGACUCUCUCCCCGCGUUCUGUAAGAAUCGGCGGCAGCCAGCAGGCGGGGAGGGUUGGGGUUCCGCUGCCUGCACCAGGCAAGAGCACC